GACGGGGGGGGCAAGUGUUCUUCGGAAUUACUGGGCGUAAAGGGCUCGUAGGCGGCCAACUAAGUCGGAUGUGAAAUCCCCAGGCUUAACCUGGGAACUGCAUCCGAUACUGGAUGGCUUGAAUCCGGGAGAGGGAUGCGGAAUUCCAGGUGUAGCGGUGAAAUGCGUAGAUAUCUGGAGGAACACCGGUGGCGAAGGCGGCAUCCUGGACCGGCAUUGACGCUGAGGAGCGAAAGCCAGGGGAGCAAACGGG
rnacentral:rRNA from 1 species